GUAGGUGGCAAGCGUUGUCCGGAAUUAUUGGGGCGUAAAGCGCGCGCAGGCGGUUCGUUUAAGUCUGAUGUGAAAGCCCACGGGCUCAACCGUGGAGGGUCAUUGGAAACUGGAGAACUUGAGUACAGAAGAGGAAAGCGGAAUUCCACGUGUAGCGGUGAAAUGCGUAGAGAUGUGGAGGAACACCAGUGGCGAAGGCGGCUUUCUGGUCUGUAACUGACGCUGAGGCGCGAAAGCGUGGGGAGCAAACAGGAUUAGAUACCCUGGUAGUCCACGCCGUAAACGAUGAGUGCUAAGUGUUAGGGGGGUUUCCGCCCCUUAGUGCUGCAGCUAACGCAUUAAGCACUCCGCCUGGGGAGUACGGCCGCAAAGGCUGA
rnacentral:rRNA from 1 species